GACGAACGCUGGCGGCGUGCUUAACACAUGCAAGUCGAACGGUAAGGCCCUUCGGGGUACACGAGUGGCGAACGGGUGAGUAACACGUGGGUGAUCUGCCCUGCACUUCGGGAUAAGCCUGGGAAACUGGGGCUAAUACCGGAUAGGACUCUUGGCUUCACGGUUGGGGGGUGAAAGCUUUUGCGGUGUGGGAUGGGCCCGCGGCCUAUCAGCUUGUUGGUGGGGUAAUGGCCUACCAAGGCGACGACGGGUAGCCGGCCUGAGAGGGUGACCGGUCACACUGGGACUGAGAUACGGCCCAGACUCCUACGGGAGGCAGCAGUGGGGAAUAUUGCACAAUGGGCGCAAGCCUGAUGCAGCGACGCCGCGUGAGGGAUGACGGCCUUCGGGUUGUAAACCUCUUUCAGCUAUGACGAAGCGCAAGUGACGGUAGUAGCAGAAGAAGGACCGGCCAACUACGUGCCAGCAGCCGCAGUAA
rnacentral:rRNA from 1 species